CAGUCGCCACGGUAAUACGGAGGGUGCAAGCGUUAAUCGGAAUUACUGGGCGUAAAGCGUGCGUAGGCGGUUCGUUAAGUCUGUUGUGAAAGCCCCGGGCUUAACCUGGGAAUGGCAAUGGAUACUGGCGAGCUAGAGUGUGUCAGAGGAUGGUGGAAUUCCCGGUGCAGCGGUGAAAUGCGUAGAGAUCGGGAGGAACAUCAGUGGCGAAGGCGGCCAUCUGGGACAACACUGACGCUGAGGCACGAAAGCGUGGGGAGCAAACAGGAUUAGAUACCCGAGUAGUCCCUGUCUCUUAUAC
rnacentral:rRNA from 1 species